ACACGACAAAGACAAGAGCCGAAAUAAAGGCUCAAAGAAGAGAGAAACAAGUAAUAAACAACCACAAUUAAUACCAGGAAGCACAAAGAGCAGCCAAACUUUCAAAAAACCAAAAAAACGACAAAAAACCUUCUCAAGCCGAAUCUUACAACUCCCAUAAGCCGCCAUCCACAAAUAUAUCUCCCAAAUGUGAAGAAAUUGAUUAUAUUGAUUCGGAAAUUUAUCGGAUUUCGACUUUGUGGAGUGGCGGGAAUUUAUUUGACUCAACUUCUUUUGUGGUGCUCGUCGUUGAUUCACUGAUUUCGUUGCUCGAAUCUCCCAACUCUUUAAUGAGUCCUGUUCAAGUCCUCGACAAAUUUAUCACAAAAUCUACUCAACAAAUUGUGUUUCCCACUAAUGCAGAGAGUUUUAUUAACUAUUUAAAGACUUGUAUCACUA